UACGUAGGGCGCAAGCGUUAUCCGGAAUUAUUGGGCGUAAAGAGCUCGUAGGCGGUUUGUCGCGUCUGCCGUGAAAGUCCGGGGCUCCAACUCCGGAUCUGCGGUGGGUACGGGCAGACUAGAGUGAUGUAGGGGAGACUGGAAUUCCUGGUGUAGCGGUGAAAUGCGCAGAUAUCAGGAGGAACACCGAUGGCGAAGGCAGGUCUCUGGGCAUUAACUGACGCUGAGGAGCGAAAGCAUGGGGAGCGAACAGG
rnacentral:rRNA from 1 species